AAAUUUGUUUUCUAGGGUUCCGUAAAGAUUAAUAUCUUUAGUCUGGUCCGAGAGAAAACCAUAGUUACGACUAUGACACGGAAGGAUAAAAGCCUGGGAGAU
rnacentral:sRNA from 1 species